rnacentral:tRNA from 1 species
GGCUGGAGAGAUGGCCCAGUGGUUAAGAGCACUGACUGCUCUUCCAGAGGUCCUGAGUUCAAUUCCCAGCAACCA